CCUACGGGUGGCAGCAGUCGAGAAUCAUUCACAAUGGGGGAAACCCUGAUGCUGCGACGCCGCGUGGGGGAAUGAAGGUCUUCGGUUUGUAAACCCCUGUCAUGUGGGAGCAAAUUAAAAAGAUAGUACCACAAGAGGAAGAGACGGCCAACUCUGUGCCAGCAGCCGCGGUAAUACAGAGGUCUCAAGCGUUGUUCGGAAUCACGGGGCGUAAUGCGUGCGUAGGCUGUUUCGUAAGUCGUGUGUGAAUGCCGCGGGCUCAACCGGGGGCCGGCACAUGAUACUGAGAGACUAGAGUAAGGGAGAGGGAACCGGAAUUCUGGGUGUAGCAGUGAAAUGCGUAGAUA
rnacentral:rRNA from 1 species